rnacentral:rRNA from 1 species
GAGACUCUGUGCGCGUGCAUAUCAAUAAGCGGAGGAAAAGAAACUAACAAGGAUUCCCCUAGUAACGGCGAGUGAAGCGGGAAGAGCUCAAAUUUGAAAUCUUAAAGGGUUUCCCUUUACGAAUUGUAGUUUAAAGAAGUGUUUUCUGUUGGAGUUUCGGUAAAAGUUCUUUGGAAUAGGACAUCAUAGAGGGUGAGAAUCCCGUAUUUGACCGUUACUUUCCAGCUGUGUGAUACACUUUCAAAGAGUCGGAUUGUUUGGGAAUGCAGUCCAAGAUGGGUGGUAAAUUUCAUCUAAAGCUAAGUAUUGGCGAGAGACCGAUAGCGAACAAGUACCGUGAGGGAAAGAUGAAAAGAACUUUGAAAAGAGAGUUAAACAGUACGUGAAAUUGUCAAAAGGGAAGCGUUUGACACCAGUGUUGUUUAGUUGAAAAUCAAUUCAAUAUUUUUCGAUUCUAAGUAGUAUUGACUUCAUCAGCUUGCUGCUUUCUUCUCAGGAAAUUAUUUAAUGCACUUUUCAGUUAACAAGUCAACAUCAAUUUCUUUUGUUGUAAAAGGGUAAGAGGAAGGUGGCUUGCGCUUCGGCUCAAGUGUUUAUAGUCCUUUUAUCCUCUGCAAUCGGAGAGAUUGAGGUCUGCAGCGUAGAUCCUUCGGGGUUAGAUACAUUGGUGCUAAGCUAUAGCCUUGUAUAGACAACUUGUUGACUAUGCUCAGUCAUGUAGCUUACUCGCUUGAUGCUAUUUUACCUACGCUUAGGAUGUUGACAGCAGUAUAGACUG